rnacentral:rRNA from 1 species
CAGUAGCCGCGGUAAUACGAAGGGUGCAAGCGUUAAUCGGAAUUACUGGGCGUAAAGCGUGCGUAGGCGGUUUGUUAAGUCUGUUGUGAAAUCCCCGGGCCCAACCUGGGAAUGGCAAUGGAUACUGGCAAGCUAGAGUGUGUCAGAGGAUGGUGGAAUUCCCGGUGUAGCGGUGAAAUGCGUAGGGAUCGGGAGGAACAUCAGUGGCGAAGGCGGCCAUCUGGGACAACACUGACGCUGAGGCACGAAAGCGUGGGGAGCAAACAGGAUUAGAUACCCCAGUAGUCCCUGUCUCUUAUAC